CAGAUUUUGGAGAGUGUCAUUAAAAUGUCUCCGGAGGGCUGGGCACAGUGGCUCACGCCUGCAAUCCUGGCACUUUGGGAGGCCGAGGCAGGCAGAUCAUUUGAGGUCAGGAGUUCGAGGCCAGCCUGACCAACAUGGUGAAACCCCAUCUCUACUAAAAUACAAAAAUUAGCUGGGUGUGGUGGCAGGCGCCUGUAAUCUCAGCUAGUCAGGAGGCUGAGGCAGGAGAAUCGCUUGAACCCAGGAGGUGGAGGUUGCAGUGAGCCAAGAUUGCGCCACUGCACUCCAGCCUGGGCGACAGAGUGAGACUCCCUCUCAAAAUAAAUAAAUAAAUAAAUAAAAACAAAAUAUAUCUGGAAGCCAGGCACAGUGAGUCACGCCUGUAAUCCCAGCACUUUGGGAAGCCAAGAUAAGCAGAUCACUUGAGCUCAGGAAUUCGAGCCCAGCGUAAGCAACAUGGUGAAACCCUGUCUCUACUAAAAACAUAAAAAUUAGCCGGGUGUGGUGGUAUGCAUGUAUAGUUCCAAAUACUCUGGAGGCUGAGGCAUGAGAAUUGCUUGAACCCAGGAGGCAGAAUUUGCAGUGACCCCGAUGACAACACUGCACUCCAGUCUGGGCAACAGAGCAAGACUCCAUCUCAAAAAAUUUUUAAAAAGUCUCUGGAUUCAGAGGCCAGACAUACCUGGCCCCCAUAUCCGUCAACCAAUUCUCUAGCAAAAUUUAGUUGUAUAGACAAAACAUAACACCUGAUGUCUUCAGCCAAGUCUCUCUACUGUGAUUAUACAAUUCCUAAUAUUUUGACCAAUUCUAGUGAAAACUUUUCUGCAAAAUGUAGAAGAUAGUGUAUGAGAUCUGAAAAGGCUCUGGAGUGUUCUAGUUUAGAUCUCACAUGUUGUGGAUGAAGAACCUGUGACCUACAAGGGCUUAGGAGUUUGCCCCCAACCUGCCCAGCACACGACAAGUUAGGGGCAGCAUCAGGAGCAGAUCCUAAGCCUCUCCGUGACCAGGCCAAGGACUUCAGCCCAGCUAACCCUGGUCCCUCCUCUGGCCUUUGUGGGACCUCCUGUGUCAGCCACAGAGUCCUCAUGUGGUUCUUGUGGCACGAGUGAAAGCAUGACAUGGAAAUCAACGGGGUCCCUGGCUUCCUCUCAUCCCAGUUCCAAUGCUUAUGGACCAAGAGCAUAGAUCUAGGAUUUGGCUUCGUGUUCUCAAAAGUGGGGACAAUUUUGCCUGCCCCUGCUGCUCCAUAUGGAAACAGAGAAAGAGCGCUGGACUGGAAGCUGAGGUGGGAGCCCCACCCCUGCCGUUUUUAGAGUAUCUGUGGUUCCAGGCACUGGGACAAGUCCCUUAACUUAUCUGUACUUUUCUUGACUCACCCCCAAAAAAUGGGGAUAAUAGUGCCUGCCCUACCCAUUUCUGUAAGAUCAAAAUGGAAAGAUGUAAGUGAAAAAAGUCGUUCAUGAGUUGUGAGGAGAAAAUGUGAAAAGUCUGGUUUAAGACAGAGCACGGUGGGUGCUUCCCAGGGGCCAUCUUAAGCGAGGUCAGCCAAAGUGGUCUGCAGUCACGUUCCCCGUGGUGGGGACACGUCAGCCUUUUCUCCAGAUGGCGGCGCUCUCCGGAGGAGCCGGAGCUGGAGGGAGGCCGGUCUGGCCCGGAGCAGGGAGUCCUUCUGCUCCCUGGCACGGCUCUGCG
rnacentral:lncRNA from 1 species